GUGCCAGCCGCGCGGUAAGACGGAGGGUGCAAGCGUUGUUCGGAAUUACUGGGCGUAAAGAGCGCGUAGGCGGUCUCAUAAGUCAGGCGUGAAAGCCCUGGGCUCAACCCAGGAACUGCGUUUGAUACUGUGGGACUAGAGGACCAGAGAGGAAAGUGGAAUUCCUAGUGUAGAGGUGAAAUUCGUAGAUAUUAGGAAGAACACCAAUGGCGAAGGCGGCUUUCUGGCUGGUUACUGACGCUGAGGGGCGAAAGCGGGGGGAGCAAACAGGAUUAGAAACCCCGGUAGUCC
rnacentral:rRNA from 1 species